GCAAGUCGAACGAGAAAGCUCUUCGGAGUGAGUAUAGUGGCGCACGGGUGAGUAACACGUAGGUGAUCUACCUUUUAGUGGGGAACAACAGUGAGAAAUUACUGCUAAUACCGCAUAAGUUAACAGACUUUGGAAGGAUGUUAAGAAAGGGGGCUUCGGCUCUCGCUGAAAGAUGAGCCUGCGGGACAUUAGCUUGAUGGUGGGGUAACGGCCUACCAUGGCAACGAUGUCUAGCUGGUCUGAGAGGAUGAUC
rnacentral:rRNA from 1 species